UAUUCAUGCAGUUUUGUAGAAUACUGGAAAAGAAAAAGUCGUUUAAUAAAGGGCCCUCCUGGAAACUUCCAAAGAAAAGACCAGAAUGUACUACGGUGGAAGAAAUUAUACUAGACGUUAUAUGGGUAAUAAGAAGAAUUUAACCCUAUUGAAAUUAGCUUUACAGAAUGGAAUAUGUUGGAUAAUGCAGC